rnacentral:rRNA from 1 species
CCUACGGGUGGCAGCAGUGGGGAAUAUUGCGCAAUGGGCGAAAGCCUGACGCAGCGACGCCGCGUGAGGGAUGAAGGUCUUCGGAUCGUAAACCUCUGUCAGCAGGGAAGAACGGUCACUGUGCUAAUCAGCAGUGAAUUGACGGUUCCUGCAAAGGAAGCACCGGCGAACUCCGUGCCAGCAGCCGGGGUAAUACGGUGGGUCCGAGCGGUUAUCGGAAUUACUUGGCGGUAAGGGCUCGGAGGGGGGUUGUAAAGUCCAGGGUGAAAUGGCCGUGGUGAACGUGGGAACCGCCUUUGAAACUGGUUAACUUGAGUGUGUGAGGGGAUAGUGGAAUUCCAGGUGUAGGGGUGAAAUGCGUAGAUAUCUGGAGGAACAUCAGUGGCGAAGGCGACUAUCUGGCACAUAACUGACGCUGAGGAGCGAAAGCGUGGGUAGCAAACAGGAUUAGAUACCCUAGUAGUC